rnacentral:rRNA from 1 species
GGGUGAGUAACGCGUGGGAACCUACCCAGGGGUGGGGGAUAACCGCUGGAAACGGCGGCUAAUACCGCAUACGCCUUUUUGAGGGAAAGAUUUAUCGCCCUUGGAUGGGCCCGCGUUGGAUUAGGUAGUUGGUGGGGUAAAGGCCUACCAAGCCUACGAUCUAUAGCUGGUCUGAGAGGAUGAUCAGCCACACUGGGACUGAGACACGGCCCAGACUCCUACGGGAGGCAGCAGUGGGGAAUCUUGGACAAUGGGGGCAACCCUGAUCCAGCCAUGCCGCGUGAGUGAAGAAGGCCUUAGGGUUGUAAAGCUCUUUCAACGGUGAAGAUGAUGACUGUAGCCGUAGAAGAAGCCCCGGCUAACUCCGUGCCAGCAGCCGCGGUAAUACGGAGGGGGCAAGCGUUGUUCGGAAUUACUGGGCGUAAAGGGCGUGUAGGCGGCCAAACAAGUCAGAGGUGAAAGCCCUGGGCUCAACCUGGGAACUGCCUUUGAAACUGUUUGGCUUGAGACCGGAAGAGGAUGGCGGAAUUCCCAGUGUAGAGGUGAAAUUCGUAGAUAUUGGGAAGAACACCGGUGGCGAAGGCGGCCAUCUGGUCCGGUUCUGACGCUGAGGCGCGAAAGCGUGGGGAGCAAACAGGAUUAGAUAC